GACGAACGCUGGCGGCGUGCUUAACACAUGCAAGUCGAACGCUGAAGCUUGGUGCUUGCACUGGGUGGAUGAGUGGCGAACGGGUGAGUAAUACGUGAGUAACCUGCACUGGACUCUGGGAUAAGCCUGGGAAACUGGGUCUAAUACUGGAUACGACAUGCCACUGCAUGGUGGUGUGUGGAAAGGGCUUUACUGGUUUUGGAUGGGCUCACGGCCUAUCAGCUUGUUGGUGGGGUAAUGGCCUACCAAGGCGACGACGGGUAGCCGGCCUGAGAGGGUGACCGGCCUCCCUGGGACUGAGACACGGCCCAGACUCCUACGGGAGGCAGCAGUGGGGAAUAUUGCACAAUGGGCGGAAGCCUGAUGCAGCGACGCCGCGUGAGGGAUGACGGCCUUCGGGUUGUAAACCUCUUUCAGCACGGAAGAAGCGAGAGUGACGUUACGUGCAGAAGAAGCGCCGGCUAACUACGUG
rnacentral:rRNA from 1 species